AGAGUUUGAUCCUGGCUCAGGAUGAACGCUGGCGGUCUGCUUAACACAUGCAAGUCGAACGGGUGUAGAAAUACAUUAGUGGCGGACGGGUGAGUAACGCGUGAGAAUCCACCUUCAGGACGGAGACAACAGUUGGAAACGACUGCUAACCCCCGAUGUACCGAAAGGGCAAAUAUUUAUAGCCUGAAGAAGAGCUCGCGUCCGAUUAGCUAGUUGGAGAGGUAAAAGCUCACCAAGGCGACGAUCGGUAGCUGGUCUGAGAGGACGAUCAGCCACACUGGGACUGAGACACGGCCCAGACUCCUACGGGAGGCAGCAGUGGGGAAUUUUCCGCAAUGGGCGAAAGCCUGACGGAGCAAGACCGCGUGGGGGAAGAAGGCUCUUGGGUUGUAAACUCCUUUUCUCUGGGAAGAACAAAAUGACGGUACCAGAGGAAUCAGCAUCGGCUAACUCCGUGCCAGCAGCCGCGGUAAGACGGAGGAUGCAAGCGUUAUCCGGAAUGAUUGGGCGUAAAGCGUCCGCAGGUGGCAGUUCAAGUCUGCUGUCAAAGACCGGGGCUUAACCUCGGAAAGGCAGUGGAAACUGAACAGCUAGAGUAUGGUAGGGGCAAAGGGAAUUCCUGGUGUAGCGGUGAAAUGCGUAGAGAUCAGGAAGAACAUCGGUGGCGAAGGCGCUUUGCUGGACCAUAACUGACACUCAGGGACGAAAGCUAGGGGAGCGAAUGGGAUUAGAUACCCCAGUAGUCCUAGCCGUAAACGAUGGAUACUAGGUGUUGUCUGUAUCGACCCGGACAGUGCCGUAGCUAACGCGUUAAGUAUCCCGCCUGGGGAGUACGCACGCAAGUGUGAAACUCAAAGGAAUUGACGGGGGCCCGCACAAGCGGUGGAGUAUGUGGUUUAAUUCGAUGCAACGCGAAGAACCUUACCAGGACUUGACAUGUCGCGAAUCUUCUUGAAAGAGAGGAGUGCCUUCGGGAGCGCGAACACAGGUGGUGCAUGGCUGUCGUCAGCUCGUGUCGUGAGAUGUUGGGUUAAGUCCCGCAACGAGCGCAACCCUCGUGUUUAGUUGCCAUCAUUAAGUUGGGAACUCUAAACAGACUGCCGGUGACAAACCGGAGGAAGGUGGGGAUGACGUCAAGUCAGCAUGCCCCUUACGUCCUGGGCUACACACGUACUACAAUGGUAGGGACAGAGGGCAGCCAACUCGCGAGAGAGAGCUAAUCCCGUAAACCCUGCCUCAGUUCAGAUUGCAGGCUGCAACUCGCCUGCAUGAAGGCGGAAUCGCUAGUAAUCGCAGGUCAGCAUACUGCGGUGAAUCCGUUCCCGGGCCUUGUACACACCGCCCGUCACACCAUGGAAGUUGGCCACGCCCGAAGUCAUUACUCUAACCUUUCGAGGGGGAGGAUGCCGAAGGCAGGGCUGAUGACUGGGGUGAAGUCGUAACAAGGUAGCCGUACCGGAAGGUGUGGCUGGAUCACCUCCUUUUAGGGAGACCAUCUGAAGACAGACCGAACCUAAACAAUAAAGGUCUAGAAGCAGUCAUCCCUGGUCGUUCGAGAUAAUAGAGUCAGAGCUUUCAAACUAUUAACAGGUUCAGGUAACGGGCUAUUAGCUCAGUUGGUUAGAGCGCACCCCUGAUAAGGGUGAGGUCCCUGGUUCAAAUCCAGGAUGGCCCACCUGGAAACAAGUGAUAAAUUUUCAGUGCUGAGUGAAGGAACCAAAAGUCCCCAAUGCAGCCCAGAAAAAUGACGCACUAGCUUAGUGGGGGUAUAGCUCAGUUGGUAGAGCGCCUGCCUUGCACGCAGGAAGUCAGCGGUUCGAGUCCGCUUACCUCCACUCUCACUCAACCAAGCCAAGAAUUAACACAGAAUAAGUAGAAAUCAGCACCUAGACCAGCCGAAAGCUAGUCAGAAUGCUGGAGUCUCGACUCUAGUAAGAACCUUGAAAACUGCAUAGAAACAAAGUAAUCAUCAAACAGGUGAGGAAGCUGAGCAAUCAGCAGGGCUCACCAAAGACCAUCAGUAAAUGAUGUUGGUCAAGUUACAAAGGGCUAACGGUGGAUACCUAGGCACACAGAGGCGAUGAAGGACGUGGCGACCGACGAUAAGCUCCGGGGAGCUGGAAGCAAGCAUUGAUCCGGAGAUGUCCGAAUGGGGCAACCCAGUAAGUACCAACUGAAUAAAUAGGUUGGUGCGGCGAACCCAGCGAAUUGAAACAUCUUAGUAGCUGGAGGAAGAGAAAGCAAUAGCGAUUUCCCAAGUAGUGGUGAGCGAACGGGAAACAGCCUAAACCAGAGGUUUUAACUUCUGGGGUCGUGGGACAGUCAUCAACGAACCUGAAAGCUAGACAAAGCAGUUGAAAGCUGCACCAGAGAAGGUGAAAGUCCUGUAGUCGAAAGUAGAAAGGACGUGACUGAAUCCCGAGUAGCACGGGGCCCGUGAAAUCCCGUGUGAAUCAGCGAGGACCAUCUCGUAAGGCUAAAUACUACUGUGUGACCGAUAGUGAACCAGUACCGCGAGGGAAAGGUGAAAAGAACCCCGGAAGGGGAGUGAAAUAGAACAUGAAACCGUUAGCUUACAAGCAGUGGAAGGACGAUUUAACGUCUGACCGCGUGCCUGUUGAAGCAUGAGCCGGCGAGUUAUAGGCAGUGGCGGGUUAAGACCCUAUGGGUUGCAGCCAAAGCGAAAGCGAGUUUGACAAGAGCGUCAGUGUGAAAGCACAAGUCACUGUUUAUAGACCCGAACCCGGGUGAUCUAACCAUGUCCAGGAUGAAGCUUGGGUAACACCAAGUGGAGGUCCGAACCGACUGAUGUUGAAAAAUCAGCGGAUGAGGUGUGGUUAGGGGUGAAAUGCCAAUCGAACCCGGAGCUAGCUGGUUCUCCCCGAAAUGUGUUGAGGCACAGCGGUCGAGAUGAAGUUGAGGGGUAAAGCACUGUUUCGGUGCGGGCUGCGAGAGCGGUACCAAAUCGAGGCAAACUCUGAAUACUCAACUGUUGCUCGGCCAGUCAGACGGUGGGGGAUAAGCUUCAUCGUCAAGAGGGAAACAGCCCAGACCACCAGCUAAGGUCCCAAAAUGACUGCUAAGUGAUAAAGGAGGUGGGAGUGCAGUGACAACCAGGAGGUUUGCCUAGAAGCAGCCACCCUUAAAAGAGUGCGUAAUAGCUCACUGGUCUAGCGCUCCUGCGCCGAAAAUGAACGGGGCUAAGCAGUCUACCGAAGCUGUGGAAUAAAUGAUUGUAGAAUCAUGUAUUGGUAGGGGAGCGUUCCGCAACGGUGUGAAGCACUAGCGACAAGCAGGUGUGGACUGUGCGGAAGUGAGAAUGUCGGCUUGAGUAGCGCAAAUGUAGGUGAGAAUCCUACACCCCGAAACCCUAAGGGUUCCUCCGCCAGGCUCGUCCGCGGAGGGUGAGUCAGGUCCUAAGGCGAGGCAGAAGUGCGUAGUCGAUGGAUAACGGGUCAAUAUUCCCGUACCUGACAU
rnacentral:rRNA from 1 species